rnacentral:lncRNA from 1 species
CUGGGCACCAUCUGAAAAAGAACUGAACAUAAUGCUCAAAUCUCAGAAUGACUUGUUCUUUCUUACACAGUAACAUUUUAAACAAAUAAUUCCAACUACCAAGAAGGUCUUUUUAAUUUUUUUUUCCAUUCAGGUGUUAUACUCAUUUGUAAAGCUACCAUCCUGCCCUAUACUCUUCCUCCUUUAUUUUUACCUCCACGAUUUUCUCUAGAACGGGUUUUAUGGAUUGACACCCAACUGGUGUAACAUUUCUCAGCUGUACUGUUUGCUCCAAGGACUUUAAGCUGCUUUUUAGGUUUUCAGAACAAGAUUGUGCCAGCUUCAGGAAAUGGUUUUUGAAUUUCUCCAUAUUUGUUACAGACAACUUAAAUGCUAUGCAGCUGGUUUGAGCCUUAUCUUCUUGGUGAUUUUUGGAAGGUAAAUCAUUUGGGCUCAUGAGGAACAGAGGAGCCAAACCACUAUUGAGAAGAUUGCUGUUCACCAUUUUGACAACCACACAAGCCACAGAUGAUACUCUCAGAUUCUAAAGCCUGCCUCCAUUCUCUGGCUGUGGCCCCUUCCUCCAUCUUCAAAUCUAGCAAUUCUGCGAAAAUCUUUCUUAUGAUGCAUUUCUCUGGUUCCAACUCCUCUGCCUCCCCUUUCACCAUUUAAGGACCCUCUGAUUAAACUGGACUCACCCAGAAAAUCCAGGGUAAUCUUUUCAUUUUAACAUCAGCUGAUUGGCAACCUUGCUUCCAUCUGCUACCUGAAUUCCCUUAGCCAUGUAAGGUAAUAUAUUCACAAGUUCUGGAGAAGAAGACAUGUACUUCUUUGGAGUGACAGAGGGACUAGCUACUACACACUGGAAGAAUCAAAUAUUCAAUAUGAGGAUAUUGACACAAGGAAGAACACAUACAAGAAUUUUAUGUAAAAGGGGUCUAAGAAUGACCAGGAGUUAAUGCGGUAAAGAGAGCAUGAAAGAACAUUUCAAUCCCCAGGAACAGUGCGAGCAAAGGAAUGAAGUGAAGAGAGGAAAUCAAGUCUGGGUUAUCGGACUUACUGCUGAGUGAUUUUACAGCUUGGAAGUAACACUUCUCUGGUAGCCAGGUUCUCCAGAAGUGUGCUUGUGAGCUCACAGAACUUAGAGACCAAGAAAGUCAAAGAAGAAAGGGACUGAAGAAUGUCAAGGAAAUGACCUAGCACUACAAGCCAUAAAGUAAUGACAGUUUCAAGGGGAAGAAUAGAGAGAAAGAGGAAUCAUGUGGAGAGGAAGAAGGUGGGGAGUUAAGGAGAGAAUUUGGUUAUAGCCAACAGGAAUAGAUCUGACAACUGAAAUUCUUAUGGGUAAAGGCAUUGUGGACAAAUACAAACUCACACACAAUGGGUUCCAAAAUAAUUUAUUUCUGCCCUGCAUUAGAAGAUGGGUGUCUGCUCAACCUAGAUGAGGCUCAACAAUAUCUCAGAGGUAUCUCUACAAGUUAGACAACAAUCAUUCAUUCCAUUUCAGAGAAGGGAAAAAUGAGUCACAGGUAAGUAACUUGCAUGCUCAAAAUAACAUGGCUAGAAAGUGGAUGAGCCAGAGAAUAGCACUAGUGUUUAAACUAUCUACGUGUCUUAAUUAGUUAUUUCUUUUCUUUUAAAGGAUUUUAUAAAAAGAUGUAAAGAGAAUGGUAAUUGUGGCAGCCUUUUUCAACUUCGUGUUGCAAUUGGAUGUCUAUAUUUUCUUAACUGAAGGAGAACAUCAACUUUUAGCAUAAUUUCCUUGCCAGUCUUUACUUGGCCCCUGAGCCUCCCUUUGCACAGCACAUCCAACUUUGCCUGCAUUACCUUUUCUCCAUUUGUACCUCUACUAAGGCGGCAGAUAAAAAAAAAUAAAAAAUAAAACAGGAAUCCUUGCUUAUUUGUACAACCCAGUUGGCAUCUUUUUUCAGUUUCCACUCAAUAAAUAUUUUUCAAACUAAUGGAGUCCAACUCCUUCAACUGCAGAGUCCAACUCCUAAUGAUUGACUUUGUUUUGUGCUGCUUAUGACAGGCUAAGGAUAUUUACCUGUAUGACUACCAGACUACCCAUGUCUCCAAGUCAGGCAGGAUGACCCAUUCUAGAGUAUGUUUAUGAUGGAGACCUGGCUCUACGAAAUGCAUUCAGAAGCAUGAAGUCUUCCAGGAUGUUUAGUAUUU